CCCUUAGAUGUUCUGGGCCGCACGCGCGCUACACUGUUCGACGCAGCGAGUCUUAACCUUGACCGAAAGGUUUGGGUAAUCUUCAGCAAAGUCGAACGUGAUGGGGAUCGAUCAUUGCAAUUAUUGAUCGUGAACGAGGAAUUCCUAGUAAGUGCAAGUCAUCAGCUUGCGCUGAUUACGUCCCUGCCCUUUGUACACACCGCCCGUCGCUACUACCGAUUGAAUGGUUUAGUGAGAUCUCUGGAUUGACGCUGGCUAGGGGGCGACCCUUGGCCAGGCUGUCGAGAAACUGCUCAAACUUGAUCAUUUGGAGGAAGUAAAAGUCGUAACA
rnacentral:rRNA from 1 species